rnacentral:rRNA from 1 species
UACAGAGGGUGCAAGCGUUAAUCGGAAUUACUGGGCGUAAAGCGUGCGUAGACGGUUAUGUAAGUCAGAUGUGAAAGCCCCGGGCUCAACCUGGGAAUUGCAUUUGAGACUGCAUAGCUAGGGUGCGGAAGAGGGAAGCGGAAUUUCCGGUGUAGCGGUGAAAUGCGUAGAUAUCGGGAGGAACACCAGUGGCGAAGGCGGCACUCUGGGCCAGUAUUGACGCUGAGGAGCGAAAGCGUGGGGAGCGAACAGG